rnacentral:rRNA from 1 species
AAUCAACGCUGGCGGCGUGCCUCAGACAUGCAAGUCGAACGUGAAAGUUCCUUCGGGAAUGAGUAAAGUGGCGCACGGGUGAGUAACACGUGGGUAAUUUGCCUUCGGGUGGGGAAUACCAACCGGAAACGGUUGUUAAUACCGCAUGAUGCAGCGGCUCGACAUCGAGACAGUUGUUAAAGCGGGGGAGCGGAGCAAUCCGUCCUCGCGCCUGAAGAGAAGCCCGCGGCGGAUUAGGAGUUGGUGAGGUAAUGGCUCACCAAGCCUGCGAUCCGUAACCGACCUGAGAGGGUGGUCGGUCACACUGACACUUAGAUACGGGUCAGACUCCUACGGGAGGCAGCAGUCGGGAAUUUUGGGCAAUGGGCGCAAGCCUGACCCAGCAACGCCGCGUGAAGGAUGAAGCUUUUCGGAGUGUAAACUUCGCAAAGAACAGGAAGAAUUAGUGAACGCAAAUACCGUUCAUGAUGACGGUACUUGUUUGUAAGCUCCGGCUAACUCCGUGCCAGCCGCC